rnacentral:rRNA from 1 species
GAUGAACGCUGGCGGCGUGCUUAACACAUGCAAGUCGAACGGGAUCCAAGGGGUGCUUGCACUUUUUGGUGAGAGUGGCGAACGGGUGGGUAACACGUGAGUAACCUGUCCUUUUCUUUGGGAUAAGCAUUCGAAAGGGUGUUUAAUACCUUAUGUUCUGUCUGCCUCGCAUGGGGUGGGUGGGAAAGGCUUUGGCCGGAUUUGGGUGGGCUCGCGGUCUAUCAGCUUGUUGGUGGGGUGAUGGCUUACCAAGGCUUUGACGGGUAGCCGGCCUGAGAGGGUGGUCGGUCACAUUGGGACUGAGAUACGGCCCAGACUCCUGCGGGAGGCAGCAGUGGGGGAUAUUGCACAAUGGGCGAAAGCCUGAUGCAGCGACGCCGCGUGGGGGAUGAAGGCCUUCGGGUUGUAAACUUCUUUUGCUCUGAACAAGGCAUGCCAGUGGGUGUGUUGAGUGUAGGGGUUGAUUAGCGCCGGCUAACUACGUG